CUGGCGGAUGCUUUACCUGCAAGUCGGGCGGCAGCAUGGACUUCGGUCUGAUGGCGAGCGGCGAACGGGUGAGUAAUGCAUCGGAACGUACCUAGUCGUGGGGGAUAACUAGUCGAAAGAUUAGCUAAUACCGCAUACGUCCUACGGGAGAAAGCAGGGGAUCGCAAGACCUUGCGCGAUUGGAGCGGCCGAUGUCUGAUUAGCUAGUUGGUGGGGUAAAGGCUCACCAAGGCGACGAUCAGUAGCGGGUCUGAGAGGAUGAUCCGCCACACUGGAACUGAGACACGGUCCAGACUCCUACGGGAGGCAGCAGUGGGGAAUUUUGGACAAUGGGGGCAACCCUGAUCCAGCCAUUCCGCGUGAGUGAAGAAGGCCUUCGGGUUGUAAAGCUCUUUCGGCAGGAACGAAACGGUUCGCUCUAACAUAGCGGACUACUGACGGUACCUGAAGAAGAAGCACCGGCUAACUACGUGCCAGCAGCCGCGGUAAUACGUAGGGUGCGAGCGUUAAUCGGAAUUACUGGGCGUAAAGCGUGCGCAGGCGGCUUUUUAAGCCAGAUGUGAAAUCCCCGGGCUUAACCUGGGAACUGCAUUUGGAACUGGAAGGCUAGAGUGCGGCAGAGGGGGGUAGAAUUCCACGUGUAGCAGUGAAAUGCGUAGAGAUGUGGAGGAAUACCGAUGGCGAAGGCAGCCCCCUGGGUCGACACUGACGCUCAUGCACGAAAGCGUGGGGAGCAAACAGGAUUAGAUACCCUGGUAGUCCACGCCCUAAACGAUGUCAACUAGUUGUUGGAGGAGUGAAAUCCUUUAGUACGAGCUAC
rnacentral:rRNA from 1 species